rnacentral:rRNA from 1 species
UUGGGGAAUUUUCCGCAAUGGGCGAAAGCCUGACGGAGCAAUACCGCGUGAGGGAGGAAGGCUCUUGGGUUGUAAACCUCUUUUCUCAGGGAAGAACAGAAUGACGGUACCUGAGGAAUAAGCAUCGGCUAACUCCGUGCCAGCAGCCGCGGUAAUACGGAGGAUGCAAGCGUUAUCCGGAAUGAUUGGGCGUAAAGGGUCCGCAGGUGGCAUUGUAAGUCUGCUGUUAAAGAGUUUGGCUCAACCAAAUAAGAGCAGUGGAAACUACAAAGCUAGAGUGUGGUCGGGGCAGAGGGAAUUCCUGGUGUAGCGGUGAAAUGCGUAGAUAUCAGGAAGAACACCAGUGGCGAAGGCGCUCUGCUAGGCCGAG